rnacentral:rRNA from 1 species
AUGGUGAAGAACUUCAACAAGUUCUACAAGAGUAGAAGCAAAGAGAGAAGCUCCAAGUCAAGGUCCUACAAUGACAAAAGAUCUUCUAGUCAAGACCGAAAUUGCUACAAUUGUGGAAGGCCCGAACACUAUUCCAAUGAGUGUACGGCCCCCUACAAGAGAAGACAAGAUUCUCCCAAGAGAAGAAGUAGAAGAGAAGAAUCACCAUCUAGAGAAAGAAGGAGUAGAGAUGAUCGUUAUGAACGAAGACCCUCACGGAGAAGCAAGGAUUCGGAAAGAAAGGACAAGUCAUCAAGGAGCUACACAAAACGAAGACAUCAAGCUCAUGUUGGUGAAUGGGUAUCCGGCUCUGGCUCCGACUCCGACAACCACUCCGAGAGAAGCUAUCACUCCGACUCCGAAUAUACUCAAGAUGAAGGUGUUGCCGGUCUAGCACUUGUGACAACCAACUCCUACGACAUAUUUGACUCACCAAAUGAAGGAGUUGGAACAUGCUUCAUGGCUAAAGGCCCAAAGGUAUCACACCCCGAGUAUGUUGAUUUCAAUAGUGAUGAAGAUGACUUGUUAGGUUAUGAUGAUUUACUUGUUGACAACUCUAGUGAUGAAUACUAUGAUGAAACGUCAAUUAAUCAUGUUAAUCAAGAUAAAACAAAUGACAAUGAUAAGGAGAAGAUUGAGUCUCUAACUAAAGAACUAAACACUCUUAAGUUAGCUCAUGAAACUAUCUUAGGAGAUCAUCGAGAACUUUUAAGGACUCAUGAGAAAUUACACUUUGAAAAGCUCAACCUUGAGCAAGAGCAUGAGUUCUUAAAAGCAAUCAAUGAUGAUCUUCGUAAGAAAAGUUCUUCUUACAUUGCCAAGCGUUUACUCUUAUCCACUUACAUGCCUCAAGUCAAGUCUAGUAACAAGACAAGAAAGAUUCUUCAUCUAGUAGUAACAAUAAUCAUGCUAAAUCCAAUAUUGUUGCUUCUAGUAGUUCUCUUGAUUCCACUAAUGAUUAUCUUAGCCAAGUUACACUUGAGCAAGAAAAUAGCUUAUUGA